rnacentral:rRNA from 1 species
AUACGGGGCUUAAAGUCUUGUAAUUGGAAUGAUGGGAAUCUAAACCCCUUCCAGAGUAUCAAUUGGAGGGCAAGUCUGGUGCCAGCAGCCGCGGUAAUUCCAGCUCCAAUAGCGUAUAUUAAACUUGUUGCAGUUAAAAAGCUCGUAGUUGAACUUCUGCUGUCAGGUUUUCGUUCCUUUCGGGGUUUCGUCAACCUGGUGGCUUUUUUCUGGGUGAAUUUAGCUUCGGCUUAAUUUCCCAGUAUUUUACUUUGAGAAAAUUAGAGUGCUUCAAGCAGGCUUUUGCCGUGAAUACUUCAGCAUGGAAUAAUAAAGUAGGACUUUGGUU